CGUUAAAUUUGUUGUAAAUUAGUAUGCAAAAAAAAAAAAGAGAAACAAAAAAAAGAGAUACAAAGCCACGUGCGAGCUUUUUGGCCCUUUUGCGAAAGGUAGAUCCAGGCACGUACGUGCUCUGAAGGAUUUUGAAAUGCUUACAUGCCUAAUUAGGAGCGUAAUUCAAAACAAAAGGACAAAGGGACACCAACGGCAAAAAUGCCAGUGAGUCGUGUCAACUGGGAAUCGAGUUACGUUGCAAAUUGUUAAGCUUUCAAGUAGCGAUGGAAGAACAACAAUGUCAGGAGCAGCAAUGUUGAUGUUAAUCAAAGUGAAUAUCGAAGACAAUUAACUCCAUCAGGGCCAGUCUGAUGUGCUUUGUGUGUCGUAGCCUGGCUUACUAAUUAAUCAAAACAAUCAGCAGCGCAUUUUCGUGUCAUGUGUGCUCUCGCAGUACCCCAGAGCCGAGCAGGAGAGGCCAAGGGACGACCUUGUCUGAUCCGCCAA